AAUGAACGCUGGCGGUAGGCCUAACACAUGCAAGUCGAACGGCAGCACCGUAAGAUCUUGCUCUUACGGGUGGCGAGUGGCGGACGGGUGAGGAAUACAUCGGAAUCUACUUUUUCGUGGGGGAUAACGUAGGUAAACUUACGCUAAUACCGCAUACGACCUACGGGUGAAAGCAGGGGAUCUUCGGACCUUGCGCGAUUGAAUGCGCCGAUGUCGGAUUAGCUAGUUGGCGGGGUAAAGGCCCACCAAGGCGACGAUCCGUAGCUGGUCUGAGAGGAUGAUCAGCCACACUGGAGCUGAGACACGGUCCAGACUCCUACGGGAGGCAGCAGUGGGGAAUAUUGGACAAUGGGCGCAAGCCUGAUCCAGCCAUACCGCGUGUGUGAAGAAGGCCUUCGGGUUGGAAAGCCCUUUUGUUGGGAAAGAAAAGCAGCAGGUUAAUACCCCGCUGUUCUGACGGUAACCAAAGAAUAAGCACCGGCUAACUUCGUG
rnacentral:rRNA from 1 species